UGCAACACCACUGACAUGCUGAGCUGGGCAGCUCUGUUUCACUUCCCACUCCCAGGACUGGAUAUUGAGCUCAGGAUUCACUCAUACUAAACAGACCAUUACAUGCAUCUGAUGUCUCCGGGAGGAACUCUAGAAACAUCUGGGCAUGGUGGUGUUUCCUAGUUUCCUUUAUUGUGGGGAUCUACUCCAACUCCUUCCUAGCAGAAGAUGACCUUGGCAGACACACACCCACUUCCACUUCAGAGUGCUGGUAUUACUGGAUUAAACCAGUCUGCAAGAAUCUGCAAGGGUGCCAGGGAACAGAGGGUACCAGACUGGAGAUGGUGCCAUCUACCUAGUUUCUCUGAAAAUGGCUGCUGAUCAACACCAUGAGUCAUGGAUCCAAACCCAGUUGUCUUUCAUCAUCACUGUCUGAGGGUUAGGAACCGAACCCAAAACCUCCUAUGUAUUUGUUAGGUCCUCUGUAAUUGAGCUACAACACAGAACCCUCGCUGAUCUCUGAGCUGUGCCCUAUACACAAAGUCAACUGAUCGUGAAGCCUUCUCCUCACUAGGGGAAAAUGAACCCCAAACGCUCAAUUUGAGAAUGAAGGUUGAAUUCCUGCUGCUGUUCAUGUUGCAGACCACUGAAAAUAAGUGCCUCUGGCUUAGAAUUUGUUAAUAGAAUUUGAUAAAAAGACAAAAAGUAAAAGA